GGGCGAGCCGCGCAGCCAGGAAGGGGGCGGGGCCCGGGGCCUGGAGGCGGGGCCUGGGGCUGUCAGUCCCGCGCCCGCCGCCGCGCCGCGGCUCCUCGCAUGCCGUGGCCCGGGUGGCUGCCAACGCUGCCGCCCGCCGCCCGCCACCCUGGCACCCCAAGCCGCCUCCCGCCGCCCCGGCCCGGCGCGCAGGGCUGCUGACCACCAGCAGCACGGACCUCUGGAGGCCGAAACAGGCCUGACAGUCACAGAUGUGUUUGCCAUCUCAUCUUUAUGUGAGUGGAGUAAGGGAAGAUGAAAGCCACAGAAUGAGACCUUUCUGGACACAACUGUACAGGAGCCCAGCCUGGAAUGCACUCAGAGUUGAUGCUGAAUAAUCUAAGAGAUGCAAAUAAAAACCAGCAAGGAACCCUUCUUUAACUUAUUAAAUUUGAGGGAAAAUUCUUGUCA